GCUGGGCAUGGUGGCGUGUGCCUGUAGUCCCAGCUACUCGGGAGGCUGAGGCAGGAGGAUUGCUUGAACCCAGGAGGCGGAGGUUGCAGUGAGCCAAGAUCAUGCCACUGCACUCUAGCCUGGGCAAUAGAGCGAGACUCUGUCUCAA
rnacentral:SRP_RNA from 1 species